GUGCUCAUUUCAGCAGCACAUAUACUAAAAUAGGAACGAUACAGAGAAGAUUAGCAUGGCCCCUGUUCAAGGAUGCAAUGUCCUCUCAAUCAUCAUCAUUUAU
ensembl:snRNA U6 U6 spliceosomal RNA